UACACAGAGGUGAUGGUUACACAACACUGUGGAUGUUCGGUACCAAAUGGCACUGAAUUGUUCCCUUUAAAACGGUUAACUUUAUAUUUUGUCCAUUUUACC